GAUGAACGCUAGCUACAGGCUUAACACAUGCAAGUCGAGGGGAAACGAUAGAGAAAGCUUGCUUUUUCUAGGCGUCGACCGGCGCACGGGUGAGUAACGCGUAUCCAACCUGCCCAUCACUUGGGGAUAACCUUGCGAAAGUAAGACUAAUACCCAAUGACGUCUCUAGAAGACAUCUGAAGGAGAUUAAAGAUUUAUCGGUGAUGGAUGGGGAUGCGUCUGAUUAGCUUGUUGGCGGGGUAACGGCCCACCAAGGCGACGAUCAGUAGGGGUUCUGAGAGGAAGGUCCCCCACAUUGGAACUGAGACACGGUCCAAACUCCUACGGGAGGCAGCAGUGAGGAAUAUUGGUCAAUGGACGAGAGUCUGAACCAGCCAAGUAGCGUGCAGGAUGACGGCCCUAUGGGUUGUAAACUGCUUUUAUAAGGGAAUAAAGUGAGUCUCGUGAGACUUUUUGCAUGUACCUUAUGAAUAAGGACCGGCUAAUUCCGUGCCAGCAGCC
rnacentral:rRNA from 1 species